rnacentral:lncRNA from 1 species
AGGCUUCGACGGCAAGAGAAGGAUGCUGAAGAAAGAAGAGGGCGCGCGCGCUUGGAAAAAGACGUGAGCUUGAAGAUGAAGUGCGGGGUGAAGCGCUAUUUAAAGGAUGCCUGAAGGGGGGUAAAAACGGAAUUUUCACCGCGCCGGCGUUUCGAGUUUUUCAGGAGUAGUGGCUGUCGUGGGCGCCCGUUUCGAAAAAAUUGCAAU